AAAUAAACAAAAAGAACCCAGUAUUCACUAUGCGCUUCUCCUUCUCAAAAACAAAAUUCUCUAUGUCACGCUUCUUUCUCUUUAUCAUGCUUCGGACUCUAUAUCACGCUUCCGAUUCGGUUUAUCUAAAGAACCUAGAAUUCGGCUUCUUCUGUAUUAGCUUCUUCUCUUACUAAUCAACCACAAGAACCCAGGGCAACUAAACAAAACCCAAAGAAGAAACAGUAUCGGCCGUUCUUUGCCUGGUGAUGAUAUUUGAAAUAGAUUAGUGUUUGGAUCUUGGUGGGAAAUCUGAUACCUGUUGGCUAUAUACAUUGCUAGCUAUGAUUGGAUAACAAUUUGAUCAUGGAGAUGUAAUUUGUGGAGCAGUUGUCAAUGUCAGAGCUAGGUAGGAAAAAAUAUUUCUAUGGACGAAGAAUGCUACAAAUGAUGCUGCAUAGGCAACUGGCACGUUUUGUUCACAUGUACUCUUUUGGACCCACUAGAUGACUUAACUUCUUCUACUACGUAUGGAUGUUGAAUUAUAAAUGCAACUUUGGUUCUAUAUAUACAAGUAUAAAACCUACUUGCAUUUGUGCUCAAGAUUUUAGAGAUGAAUUGAGAGAGAAGUUAAACAUGAUGGGCCGGUCAAGAUUUUGGUCUAAUAUGUUAUGAAAUGGAUGAAUUGCAGACAUUUUAGUAAUAGCCUUGUUUUAUGUUGGGAUCGAGACACGAUGAGUUGAAGAUAUUAACUGUGGUAACAUAGGGCAAUCUACUUAGACAAGCUAACAUGUGCUCCCUUCUAUUUGUUUGUUUAUUGUAUUGAUAGACACGUUGUAAUUUUUUAUGCUCGAUAUUGUUUUUGGGUGAAUGCAAAAAUGUAAUUGAUAUUUAAGUAAAAUUCGAUGGCUUGAACUCUUACAA